CAGCCGUAAACUAUGCUCGCUAGGUGUCAGGCAUGGCGCGACCGUGUCUGGUGCCGCAGGGAAGCCGUGAAGCGAGCCACCUGGGAAGUACGGCCGCAAGGCUGAAACUUAAAGGAAUUGGCGGGGGAGCACAACAACGGGUGGAGCCUGCGGUUUAAUUGGACUCAACGCCGGACAACUCACCGGGGACGACAGCAAUAUGUAGGCCAGGCUGAAGACCUUGCCUGGAAUCGCUGAGAGGAGGUGCAUGGCGUAGACGUCU
rnacentral:rRNA from 1 species